rnacentral:lncRNA from 1 species
AAAGAAUACAUAUUUAUAUAGUUGAAGUAUUUGGUAAAUAAAUGUAGUUCUAGUCUAUCUAUCCAAACCUUUGUAUUCAAUCAGGAAUUCAAAGACAGGUGAAGCUAAGUUUCAGUUAAAUUCUUUCAUCCAAUCUAUGAAAGCCAUUUGAAGAGGGAAAUUGAAAUUAACUGAACUCUGUAUAGAACAGUUCUUCAUAAUUAAUCCCCCAAAGUACCCAGUGGGGAACUUUUUCAGUAACGGAAGUAUUAAAAAGCGGGAAAAUUUUAUUUUAAAGAAAUAAUCACCGUGGUGAUUUUCAUCUAUUAAGAGUGAGGCACAUUUCAUUUUUUUUUUUUAUUGGGGACAGACAGUCCUGAUAGAGGAAAGAAGAAAUGCAGAUAACUCCAGCCAGCAAUGUGACCAAAGUGCUUUAAGACCAACCAGCGAGGAAGCCAGAGAAGUGCAGUCAUCCAAGGGGAGAGUCCUGAGAGGGCAUUCAGAGAGCUUGAAGAACAUAGAAAACAGCAAGGACAUUAAAGAUGAGGAUAGUUGGAGCUAUAGACCACUACAUCCUAAAAGGAAGAUGUCUCCCGAGGUAGAAAGCUCAAAAUGGAAAUGGAGAACUGAAUGGUAG